UGAUUGGGCCCGGGGGGCCUACGGGGGGCAGCAGUAGGGAAAUAUUGCCAAUGGGGGAAAACCUGACGGAGCAACAUGCGCGUGAGAAAGACGGCCUUCGGGGGUAAAGCUAUGUUAUAUGGACGAACGGGCGUAUGGUCAAUACCCAUACGCCGUGACGUAC
rnacentral:rRNA from 1 species